GACGAACGCUGGCGGCGUGCUUAACACAUGCAAGUCGAACGGAAAGGCCCUGCUUUUGUGGGGUGCUCGAGUGGCGAACGGGUGAGUAACACGUGAGUAACCUGCCCUUGACUUUGGGAUAACUUCAGGAAACUGGGGCUAAUACCGGAUAGGAGCUCCGGCGGCAUGGUGGGGGUUGGAAAGGUUCGGCGGUUGGGGAUGGACUCGCGGCUUAUCAGCUUGUUGGUGGGGUAGUGGCUUACCAAGGCGUUGACGGGUAGCCGGCCUGAGAGGGUGACCGGCCACAUUGGGACUGAGAUACGGCCCAGACUCCUACGGGAGGCAGCAGUGGGGAAUAUUGCACAAUGGGCGGAAGCCUGAUGCAGCAACGCCGCGUGCGGGAUGACGGCCUUCGGGUUGUAAACCGCUUUCGCCUGUGACGAAGCGUGAGUGACGGUAAUGGGUAAAGAAGCACCGGCUAACUACGUG
rnacentral:rRNA from 1 species